rnacentral:tRNA from 1 species
GGGGCUAUAGCUCAGCUGGGAGAGCGCUUGCAUGGCAUGCAAGAGGUCGACGGUUCGAUCCCGUCUAG